CUAAUACAUACAAGUAGAACGCUGAAGGAGGAGCUUGCUUCUCCGGAUGAGUUGCGAACGGGUGAGUAACGCGUAGGUAACCUGCCUGGUAGCGGGGGACAACUAUUGGAAACGAUAGCUAAUACCGCAUAACAGUAGAUAUUGCAUGAUAUCUGCUUGAAAGGUGCAAUUGCAUCACUACCAGAUGGACCUGCGUUGUAUUAGCUAGUUGGUGAGGUAACGGCUCACCAAGGCGACGAUACAUAGCCGACCUGAGAGGGUGAUCGGCCACACUGGGACUGAGACACGGCCCAGACUCCUACGGGAGGCAGCAGUAGGGAAUCUUCGGCAAUGGACGGAAGUCUGACCGAGCAACGCCGCGUGAGUGAAGAAGGUUUUCGGAUCGUAAAGCUCUGUUGUAAGAGAAGAACGAGUGUGAGAGUGGAAAGUUCACACUGUGACGGUAUCUUACCAGAAAGGGACGGCUAACUACGUGCCAGCAGCCGCGGUAAUACGUAGGUCCCGAGCGUUGUCCGGAUUUAUUGGGCGUAAAGCGAGCGCAGGCGGUUAGAUAAGUCUGAAGUUAAAGGCUGUGGCUUAACCAUAGUACGCUUUGGAAACUGUUUAACUUGAGUGCAAGAGGGGAGAGUGGAAUUCCAUGUGUAGCGGUGAAAUGCGUAGAUAUAUGGAGGAACACCGGUGGCGAAAGCGGCUCUCUGGCUUGUAACUGACGCUGAGGCUCGAAAGCGUGGGGAGCGAAACAGGAUUAGAUACCCUGGUAGUCCACGCCGUGAACGAUGAGUGCUAGGUGUUAGACCCUUUCCGGGUUUAGUGCCGCAGCUAACGCAUUAAGCACUCCGCCUGGGGAGUACGACCGCAAGGU
rnacentral:rRNA from 1 species